rnacentral:misc_RNA from 1 species
GAUGAAGAACGUAGCGAAAUGCGAUACUUGGUGUGAAUUGCAGAAUCCCGUGAACCAUCGAGUCUUUGAACGCAAGUUGCGCCCGAAGCCACUAGGCCGAGGGCACGCCUGCCUGGGCGUCACACGCCGUUGCCCCCCCAUCUACUCCUUCGGGAUUGCGGGGGGGCGGAUGAUGGCCUCCUGUGCGCCUAGCCGCGCGGUUGGCAUAAAUACCAAGUCCUCGGCGACGCACGCCACGACAAUCGGUGGUUGCGAAACCUCGGUUGCCCGUCGUGUGCGUUCGUCGCGCAUCGAGGGCUCGAAAAAAUGCUCGGCUCCGGCUGGGCUUUCAACGCGACCCCAGGUCAGGCGCGGUUACCCGCUGAAUUUAAGCAUAUCAAUAAGCGGAGGA